CGCCGAGGUGGUGUGGGUCGAGCGCGGUCCGCUGCGGGCGAUCGUGGAGGUGCGGCGCUCGUUCGGGCGGGCCUCGACGA
rnacentral:tRNA from 1 species